UGAACGCUGGCGGCGUGCCUCCUACAUGCAAGUCGAGCGAACGGACGCGAAGCUUGCUUCUCUGAUGUUAGCGGCGGACGGGUGAGUAACACGUGGAUAACCUACCUAUAAGACUGGGAUAACUUCGGGAAACCGGAGCUAAUACCGGAUAAUAUUUUGAACCGCAUGGUUCAAAAGUGAAAGACGGUCUUGCUGUCACUUAUAGAUGGAUCCGCGCUGCAUUAGCUAGUUGGUAAGGUAACGGCUUACCAAGGCAACGAUGCAUAGCCGACCUGAGAGGGUGAUCGGCCACACUGGAACUGAGACACGGUCCAGACUCCUACGGGAGGCAGCAGUAGGGAAUCUUCCGCAAUGGGCGAAAGCCUGACGGAGCAACGCCGCGUGAGUGAUGAAGGUCUUCGGAUCGUAAAACUCUGUUAUUAGGGAAGAACAUAUGUGUAAGUAACUGUGCACAUCUUGACGGUACCUAAUCAGAAAGCCACGGCUAACUACGUG
rnacentral:rRNA from 1 species